rnacentral:rRNA from 1 species
GCCCUAGUAACGGCGAGUGAAGCGGCAACAGCUCAAAUUUGAAAUCUGGCCCUUGGGUCCGAGUUGUAAUUUGUAGAGGAUGUUUUUGGUGCGGUAUCUUCCGAGUUCCUUGGAACAGGACGCCUUAGAGGGUGAGAGCCCCGUACGGUUGAAUGCCUAGCCUUUGUAAAACUCCUUCGACGAGUCGAGUAGUUUGGGAAUGCUGCUCUAAAUGGGAGGUAAAUUUCUUCUAAAGCUAAAUACUGGCCAGAGACCGAUAGCGCACAAGUAGAGUGAUCGAAAGAUGAAAAGCACUUUGAAAAGAGGGUUAAAUAGCACGUGAAAUUGUUGAAAGGGAAGGAUUUAUGACCAGACUUUUUCUGGGCGGAUCAUCCGGUGUUCUCACCGGUGCACUUCGCUCAGUUUAGGCCAGCAUCGAUUUUCGGUGGGGGAUAAAAGCUUUAGGAAUGUGGCUCCUCCGGGAGUGUUAUAGCCUAUUGUAUAAUACCCUACUGGGGAUCGAGGUACGCGCUUCUGCAAGGAUGCUGGCGUAAUGGUUAUCAAUCACCCGUCUUGAAACACGGACCAAGGAGUCGAACAUUUGUGCAAGUGUUUGGGUGUUAAACCCUCACGCGUAAUGAAAGUGAACGGAGGUGAGAGCCCUUACGGGUGCAUCAUCGACCGAUCCUGAUGUUUUCGGAUGGAUUUGAGUAAGAGCAUAACUGUUCGGACCCGAAAGAUGGUGAACUAUGCGUGGAUAGGGUGAAGCCAGAGGAAACUCUGGUGGAGGCUCGCAGCGGUUCUGACGUGCAAAUCGAUCGUCAAAUCUGCGCA